GCGCUUGUAGCUCAAUUGGAUAGAGCAUCUGAUUACGGAUCAGAAGGUUGGGGGUUCGAGUCCCUCCAAGCGCACCA
rnacentral:tRNA from 3 species